UACGGGGGGGGCAAGCGCUGUUCGGAAUUACUGGGCGUAAAGGGCUUGUAGGUGGCCAACUAAGUCAGACGUGAAAUCCCUCGGCUUAACCGGGGAACUGCGUCUGAUACUGGAUGGCUUGAGUUCGGGAGAGGGAUGCGGAGUUCCAGGUGUAGCGGUGAAAUGCGUAGAUAUCUGGAGGAACACCGGUGGCGAAGGCGGCAUCCUGGACCGAUACUGACGCUGAGGAGCGAAAGCCAGGGGAGCAAACGGG
rnacentral:rRNA from 1 species